rnacentral:rRNA from 1 species
CGGCCGCGGUACCUAACCGUGCAAAGGUAGCACAAUCACUUGUUCUUUAAAUAGGGACUAGUAUGAACGGCACCACGAAGACCAUGCUGUCUCCUUUUUCUAAUCAGUGAAACUGAUCUCCCCGUGAAGAAGCGGGGAUUAUUUUAUAAGACGAGAAGACCCUAUGAAGCUUAAAAUUUUCAUCAACUGCCCCCCAUACACCACCUUAACCUGGCAGACCUGAUUACUAAUUUUUGGUUGGGGUGACCGCGGAGCAAAAUUAAACCUCCACAAUGAAAGGAUUAAACCCCUUAUUCAAGAAUCACACUUCUAAAAAUCAAUAUAUUGACAUAAAUUGAUCCAAACCUUUGAUCAAUGAACCAAGUUACUCUAGGGAUAACAGCGCAAUCCAUUUCAAGAGCCCCUAUCGACAAAUGGGUUUACGACCUCGAUGUUGGAUCAGGGUGUCCUAGUGGUGCAACCGCUACUAAAGGUUCGUUUGUUCAACGAUUAAAACCCUACGUGAUC